rnacentral:rRNA from 1 species
AGAGUUUGAUCCUGGCUCAGGAUGAACGCUGGCGGCGUGCCUAACACAUGCAAGUCGAACGGAAUUUACAUGAAGCCUAGCGAUUGUAAAUUUAGUGGCGGACGGGUGAGUAACGCGUGGGUAACCUGCCUUGUACUGGGGGACAACAGUUGGAAACGACUGCUAAUACCGCAUAAGCGCACGGCUUCGCAUGAAGCAGUGUGAAAAACUCCGGUGGUACAAGAUGGACCCGNGUCUGAUUAGCUGGUUGGUGAGGUAACGGCCACCAAGGCGACGAUCAGUAGCCGGCCUGAGAGGGUGAGCGGCCACAUUGGGACUGAGACACGGCCCAAACUCCUACGGGAGGCA